rnacentral:rRNA from 1 species
UACGUAGGGACCAAGCGUUGUUCGGAUUUACUGGGCGUAAAGGGCGCGUAGGCGGCUUAACAAGUCACUUGUGAAAUCUCCGGGCUUAACUCGGAACGGCCAAGUGAAACUGUCAAGCUAGAGUGCAGAAGGGGCAAUCGGAAUUCUUGGUGUAGCGGUGAAAUGCGUAGAUAUCAAGAGGAACACCUGAGGUGAAGACGGGUUGCUGGGCCGACACUGACGCUGAUGCGCGAAAGCCAGGGGAGCGAACGGG